AGCGUACACGGUGGAUGCCCUGGCAGUCAGAGGCGAUGAAGGACGUGCUAAUCUGCGAUAAGCGUCGGUAAGGUGAUAUGAACCGUUAUAACCGGCGAUUUCCGAAUGGGGAAACCCAGUGUGAUUCGUCACACUAUCAUUAACUGAAUCCAUAGGUUAAUGAGGCGAACCGGGGGAACUGAAACAUCUAAGUACCCCGAGGAAAAGAAAUCAACCGAGAUUCCCCCAGUAGCGGCGAGCGAACGGGGAGCAGCCCAGAGCCUGAAUCAGUGUGUGUGUUAGUGGAAGCGUCUGGAAAGGCGCGCGAUACAGGGUGACAGCCCCGUACACAAAAAUGCACAUGCUGUGAGCUCGAUGAGUAGGGCGGGACACGUGGUAUCCUGUCUGAAUAUGGGGGGACCAUCCUCCAAGGCUAAAUACUCCUGACUGACCGAUAGUGAACCAGUACCGUGAGGGAAAGGCGAAAAGAACCCCGGCGAGGGGAGUGAAAAAGAACCUGAAACCGUGUACGUACAAGCAGUGGGAGCACAGAGCAAUCUGUGUGACUGCGUACCUUUUGUAUAAUGGGUCAGCGACUUAUAUUCUGUAGCAAGGUUAACCGAAUAGGGGAGCCGAAGGGAAACCGAGUCUUAACUGGGCGUUAAGUUGCAGGGUAUAGACCCGAAACCCGGUGAUCUAGCCAUGGGCAGGUUGAAGGUUGGGUAACACUAACUGGAGGACCGAACCGACUAAUGUUGAAAAAUUAGCGGAUGACUUGUGGCUGGGGGUGAAAGGCCAAUCAAACCGGGAGAUAGCUGGUUCUCCCCGAAAGCUAUUUAGGUAGCGCCUCGUGAAUUCAUCUCCGGGGGUAGAGCACUGUUUCGGCAAGGGGGUCAUCCCGACUUACCAACCCGAUGCAAACUGCGAAUACCGGAGAAUGUUAUCACGGGAGACACACGGCGGGUGCUAACGUCCGUCGUGAAGAGGGAAACAACCCAGACCGCCAGCUAAGGUCCCAAAGUCAUGGUUAAGUGGGAAACGAUGUGGGAAGGCCCAGACAGCCAGGAUGUUGGCUUAGAAGCAGCCAUCAUUUAAAGAAAGCGUAAUAGCUCACUGGUCGAGUCGGCCUGCGCGGAAGAUGUAACGGGGCUAAACCAUGCACCGAAGCUGCGGCAGCGACGCUUAUGCGUUGUUGGGUAGGGGAGCGUUCUGUAAGCCUGCGAAGGUGUGCUGUGAGGCAUGCUGGAGGUAUCAGAAGUGCGAAUGCUGACAUAAGUAACGAUAAAGCGGGUGAAAAGCCCGCUCGCCGGAAGACCAAGGGUUCCUGUCCAACGUUAAUCGGGGCAGGGUGAGUCGACCCCUAAGGCGAGGCCGAAAGGCGUAGUCGAUGGGAAACAGGUUAAUAUUCCUGUACUUGGUGUUACUGCGAAGGGGGGACGGAGAAGGCUAUGUUGGCCGGGCGACGGUUGUCCCGGUUUAAGCGUGUAGGCUGGUUUUCCAGGCAAAUCCGGAAAAUCAAGGCUGAGGCGUGAUGACGAGGCACUACGGUGCUGAAGCAACAAAUGCCCUGCUUCCAGGAAAAGCCUCUAAGCAUCAGGUAACAUCAAAUCGUACCCCAAACCGACACAGGUGGUCAGGUAGAGAAUACCAAGGCGCUUGAGAGAACUCGGGUGAAGGAACUAGGCAAAAUGGUGCCGUAACUUCGGGAGAAGGCACGCUGAUAUGUAGGUGAAGUCCCUCGCGGAUGGAGCUGAAAUCAGUCGAAGAUACCAGCUGGCUGCAACUGUUUAUUAAAAACACAGCACUGUGCAAACACGAAAGUGGACGUAUACGGUGUGACGCCUGCCCGGUGCCGGAAGGUUAAUUGAUGGGGUCAGCGCAAGCGAAGCUCUUGAUCGAAGCCCCGGUAAACGGCGGCCGUAACUAUAACGGUCCUAAGGUAGCGAAAUUCCUUGUCGGGUAAGUUCCGACCUGCACGAAUGGCGUAAUGAUGGCCAGGCUGUCUCCACCCGAGACUCAGUGAAAUUGAACUCGCUGUGAAGAUGCAGUGUACCCGCGGCAAGACGGAAAGACCCCGUGAACCUUUACUAUAGCUUGACACUGAACAUUGAGCCUUGAUGUGUAGGAUAGGUGGGAGGCUUUGAAGUGUGGACGCCAGUCUGCAUGGAGCCGACCUUGAAAUACCACCCUUUAAUGUUUGAUGUUCUAACGUGGACCCGUAAUCCGGGUUGCGGACAGUGUCUGGUGGGUAGUUUGACUGGGGCGGUCUCCUCCUAAAGAGUAACGGAGGAGCACGA
rnacentral:rRNA from 1 species